GGUUAAUAUUCCUGUACUUGGUGUUACUGCGAAGGGGGGACGGAGAAGGCUAUGUUGGCCGGGCGACGGUUGUCCCGGUUUAAGCGUGUAGGUGUGUGUUCCAGGUAAAUCCGGUUCACUUUAACACUGAGGCGUGAUGACGAGGCACUACGGUGCUGAAGCAACAAAUGCCCUGCUUCCAGGAAAAGCCUCUAAGCAUCAGGUAACAUCAAAUCGUACCCCAAACCGACACAGGUGGUCAGGUAGAGAAUACCAAGGCGCUUGAGAGAACUCGGGUGAAGGAACUAGGCAAAAUGGUGCCGUAACU
rnacentral:rRNA from 1 species